AGUGAACGCUGGCGGUAGGCCUAACACAUGCAAGUCGAACGGCAGCACAGUAAGAGCUUGCUCUUACGGGUGGCGAGUGGCGGACGGGUGAGGAAUACAUCGGAAUCUACUUUUUCGUGGGGGAUAACGUAGGGAAACUUACGCUAAUACCGCAUACGACCUACGGGUGAAAGCAGGGGAUCUUCGGACCUUGCGCGUUUGAAUGAGCCGAUGUCGGAUUAGAUAGUUGGCGGGGUAAAGGCCCACCAAGGCGACGAUCCGUAGCUGGUCUGAGAGGAUGAUCAGCCACACGGGAACUGAGACACGGAACAGACUCCUACGGGAGGCAGCAGUGGGGAAUAUUGGACAAUGGGCGAAAGCCUGAUCCAGCCAUACCGCGUGGGUGAAGAAGGCCUUCGGGUUGUAAAGACCUUUUGUUGGGAAAGAAAAGCAGCAGGUUAAUACCCCGCUGUUCUGACGGUACCAAAAGAAUAAGCACCGGCUAACUUCGUG
rnacentral:rRNA from 1 species